UUGACCAGAAAAUCAUCAAUCUGAUGGUUUUCGGGCGUUUAAGGGAUGCAAUACAGAAGGGGGAUGAUAAUAUUAGAUGGAAAGGUUAACGAUGGAAGAAUCUUUCUCUGAUCCAUUUUAAUGUUAGGCUUUUGUUAAUCCUUGAUCCAUUUAAUUGUUGGGUUGCAUGAUUGGUUACGUUUCGAAUCGUUAGAGAGGAAACAGAAAUUGAUUUUCUUCAAUCUCAUUUCAACUUUUCAUAUAGCCCUGUUAGACCGGUGGGUAUGGUUUAGAUAGUCUGUUGGAGACUACCCGUCACGUAGGCGACACGUCAUCACGGGAGGAGGAGCAUCCUCUUGGGGGACUACCAAACCAUUAAUAAUAUUUUAAUAUAUAUGUAUAUAAAGGAGGAGAGAGAAGUCAGAUGGGGGGCCCACCAUCUUGCCCCGUGUCCACCGUCUGAAAUCCGACGCAUGUGCCGAGCCAAGCCCCUAGGGGGCGGUGUGCGACUUGCCUAAAGGGGGGGGGGGGGACGGCCCUGUGCCGAACCCCAUACCCAUUGGUCUUAUACCAUCACCAAACUAAUGGCCUAGCGCUAAGUGUGGAAUAACACAUAUGGAACCAAAAGUUUCGAAUCGUUGAAACAUCUCCAAAGUCAUUAUGGUUGUCAAAGAAAAGGCAGAUAUCAUUACCAAUGAUCAACACUAAGAACAGUAGCAGGCCAAGCCCCAACAAGGUAACAAAAUGUGAAAGCCAAAUAGAAGCCAGCUGGACAGCACUGGAGGCUUGGAAAAGUGGCAAUAAAGUUACCUAAAAAUAAAACGGAUGUUUUUAUUAAAUAAAUAGGAUUUAUUCCUAUGAAAUGUGUGUAUUGAAAACUUGGGUUUUACCCAUAUGUUUAAUGUUAUA
rnacentral:lncRNA from 1 species